rnacentral:lncRNA from 1 species
UAUAUAAUAUAUUGUAGCUAUUUAUUAUUUUGCCACAGAUAACUUGUAGUAUUAUUUGUUAGUGAGCGCUUUAGCUCUAAAAAAAUAGAUUUUACAGAUUAUCACUGUAUCACACUGAACACUACUCAACCAGAAUUUAAACAUAAUAUCAAUCACAAUAUUCAAGACAUAUUCGUCAUAAUACAAAAAAACGACUAUAUGUUCAAGUGCCACAAUCAAAAUAAGCUAACAGUUAAUUGUUCACAUCAAGUAUCAUUUGCACAAAACCACAUAAGUUUUUAAUCUCAUCAAAGUCACAUCUCAUAUUACUAACGUUUUAGAACAACGAAAAAAAAAACUCUAAA